ensembl:snoRNA SNORA74 Small nucleolar RNA SNORA74
CCCAGCUGUAGGCAGCUGCCUACGCUGCCUUGUACCUAGGCAAGUGUUACACUGCUGGGAGAAAAACAAUCAAGACUGGAAGACAUUCUGGGCCUGGUUAAUGCCAACUCUGUGUUAAUUAUAGCAGUGUACAAGUAUAGUUGCCCAUUGU